rnacentral:rRNA from 1 species
AUUGAACGCUAGCGGCAUGCUUUACACAUGCAAGUCGAACGAGGGGCGGACGGGUGAGUAAUAUAUCGGAACGUGCCCAGUAGCGGGGGAUCACUACUCGAAAGAGUGGCUAAUACCGCAUACUCUUGGAGCGCCCGAUAUGGGAUUAGCUAGUUGGUGGGGUAAAGGCUCACCUAGGCGACGAUCCGUAGCUGGUUUGAGAGGACGACCAGCCACACUGGGACUGAGACACGGCCCAGACUCCUACGGGAGGCAGCAGUGGGGAAUAUUGGACAAUGGGGGAAACCCUGAUGCAGCCAUGCCGCGUGUAUGAGAAGGCCUUCGGGUUGUAAAGUACUUUUGGCCGGGAGGCGUUAUCUGCAGAAUAAGCACCGGCUAACUACGUGCCAGCAGCCGCGGUAAUAC